GAUGAAGAACGCAGCGAAAUGCGAUAAGUAGUGUGAAUUGCAGAAUUCAGUGAAUCAUCGAAUCUUUGAACGCACAUUGCGCCCUUUGGUAUUCCAAAGGGCAUGCCUGUUCGAGCGUCAUUUGUACCCUCAAGCUUUGCUUGGUGUUGGGCGUCUUGUCUCCAGUUCGCUGGAGACUCGCCUUAAAGUAAUUGGCAGCCGGCCUACUGGUUUCGGAGCGCAGCACAAGUCGCGCUCUCUUCCAGCCAAGGUCAGCAUCCACAAAGCCUUUUUUCAACUUUUGACCUCGGAUCAGGUAGGGAUACCCGCUGUACUUAAGCAUAUCAAUAAGCGGAGGA
rnacentral:misc_RNA from 1 species